AAAUCCAAUCUUUGGUUGUUUAAAAUUCAUUGACUCAGAGAAGUCUGGCAGGAUGCACAGAAAUUUCCCUCUCAGUUUAGGAGGGCUGUCCUAAGAAUAGGUCUGCCUUUAGAGAGACCAAU
ensembl:scaRNA